rnacentral:rRNA from 1 species
CGAGGUAGAGCAAAUCUCAAAAAAACAAUCUCAGUUCAGACUGCAGGCUGCAACUCGCCUGCACGAAGUCGGAAUUGCUAGUAAUCGUAGGUCAGCAUACUACGGUGAAUACGUUCCCGGGCCUUGUACACACCGCCCGUCAAACCAUGAGAGUUGGCAACACCCGAAGUCGGUAGUCUAACCGCAAGGAGGACGCCGCCGAAGGUGGGGUUGAUGAUUAGGGUUAAGUCGUAACAAGGUAUC